rnacentral:rRNA from 1 species
GAUGAACGCUGGCGGCGUGCCUAAUACAUGCAAGUCGAGCGAACAGACGAGGAGCUUGCUCCUCUGACGUUAGCGGCGGACGGGUGAGUAACACGUGGAUAACCUACCUAUAAGACUGGGAUAACUUCGGGAAGCCGGAGCUAAUACCGGAUAAUAUAUUGAACCGCAUGGCUCAAUAGUGAAAGACGGUUUUGCUGUCACUUAUAGAUGGAUCCGCGCCGCAUUAGCUAGUUGGUAAGGUAACGGCUUACCAAGGCGACGAUGCGUAGCCGACCUGAGAGGGUGAUCGGCCACACUGGAACUGAGACACGGUCCAGACUCCUACGGGAGGCAGCAGUAGGGAAUCUUCCGCAAUGGGCGAAAGCCUGACGGAGCAACGCCGCGUGAGUGAUGAAGGUCUUCGGAUCGUAAAACUCUGUUAUUAGGGAAGAACAAAUGUGUAAGUAACUAUGCACGUCUUGACGGUACCUAAUCAGAAAGCCACGGCUAACUACGUG